GCAAGUCAGGCAGUACUACAUUAGGAGAGAAUUCAAUAUUUGACUCAUUUCUGAUUGCCUUUCUUUGUGUAUCAAUGCUGAUCUUGGUUUUUGCUGUAAUGAUCAAAUUAGUACAGAUUCAUGUACUGUUAUCAUCAGUUCUUUAGAAUUACACAGUAAUACUUCAUGCAGACCUGAAUCCAGCUCUAUAGUGUUUUGAGCUCCCAGCAAGUUCAUGGACCUGCAUAUGGAGUUUGCUCAUGAAGUUCUCCUUUUAUCAAGAGAUGUUGAGCUCAAUCCUGGGCCCAUAGCAGCUAUGCAUUAUUAUACUGUAAAUGUUCAAAUAAAAAUCGGGCUUGAAUAAACGCCUGGUACUAAUAAUCUCCAAGUACAUGUAUAUUUACGCAUAUUCUACUCAAUAUAGGUACCAUAGACUUUAGAGUGUCCCAAAUGGUCUAACUUGUUAAACUAAUAACUUGUUAAGCUCAGUUCAAUAAACUUGGAGUCCCAAGUUCAAAUCCCCCUUUAUUUUUUUUUACGCAAUUUUUUUGUCCUGCAAAGAAAUAAACAUCCGGGCUUUUAUUUGAACAUUUACGGUAGACUCAUUCUAGUAAACUACAUAACUGAUGUCGUUGCUGAUAAUUUUUUAAGUGUCACUAAUGAGCUUUUUGCUGUCCAGCUAAUACCAAACAAGGAAGGAUAUCAAGAGAACAUUCAUGGGUGUGCCUGAUUAUAAUAAGAAUUUGACUGACAUCUGUCAUGUCUUAUACAGCAGCAAAACCGGUCACUUAUUGACUUUGCUACAUGUGUACUUCUAUAUUAUACCAACUUGCUUUUACGUCAGGUUAAUUAUCACAGCUGGUGGAUAAUUCUGAACCAAUGGAGAGAGAAAUGAUAUCAGUGUAGAAUGUUUGAGCCGAUUCUCACUUAAUUUUUAAACGUUAUGACGGUCUCAUCCCUGUACUUCUAGUCAGUUGUUUCAUUUUGGUUGGAUACUCUACAUUCACAUUAAAAGUUAGUUUUAUAAUUUCAAAUGUCAUUCAUCCUUUUUGAAACAAUGACAAGAAAAUAGGAAUAAACUUAGAUGUUACUCAACUAAAC